AAUGAACGUUGGCGGCGUGGAUUAGGCAUGCAAGUCGAACGGGCCGCAAGGCCAGUGGCGCAAGGGUGAGUAAGGCGACGGCAACCAACCCCGCGGUCGGGCAUAGCCGAGGGAAACCUCGGGUAAUUCCCGGCGACGCGAGGAGUCGGCAUCGACUCCUCGCCAAAGCUCCGGCGCCGCGGGACGGGCCGUCGUGGUAUUAGGUAGUUGGCGGGGUAACGGCCCACCAAGCCUCCGAUGCCUACCGGGCGUGCGAGCGUGGCCCGGCACACUGGGACUGAGACACUGCCCAGACUCCUACGGGAGGCUGCAGUCGAGAAUCUUCGGCAAUGGGCGCAAGCCUGACCGAGCGACGCCGCGUGGAGGACGAAGGCCUUCGGGUUGUAAACUCCUGUCGAGGGGGAGGAAGGCGGUGAUGAGCCGCUUGACCGAUCCCUGGAGGAAGCACGGGCUAAGUUCGUGCCAGCCGCCGC
rnacentral:rRNA from 1 species